rnacentral:rRNA from 1 species
UCUUGGUCAUUUAGAGGAAGUAAAAGUCGUAACAAGGUCUCCGUAGGUGAACCUGCGGAGGGAUCAUUACACAAAUAUGAAGGCGGGCUGGAACCUCUCGGGGUUACAGCCUUGCUGAAUUAUUCACCCUUGUCUUUUGCGUACUUCUUGUUUCCUUGGUGGGUUCGCCCACCACUAGGACAAACAUAAACCUUUUGUAAUUGCAAUCAGCGUCAGUAACAAAUUAAUAAUUACAACUUUCAACAACGGAUCUCUUGGUUCUGGCAUCGAUGAAGAACGCAGCGAAAUGCGAUAAGUAGUGUGAAUUGCAGAAUUCAGUGAAUCAUCGAAUCUUUGAACGCACAUUGCGCCCUUUGGUAUUCCAAAGGGCAUGCCUGUUCGAGCGUCAUUUGUACCCUCAAGCUUUGCUUGGUGUUGGGCGUCUUGUCUCUAGCUUUGCUGGAGACUCGCCUUAAAGUAAUUGGCAGCCGGCCUACUGGUUUCGGAGCGCAGCACAAGUCGCACUCUCUAUCAGCAAAGGUCUAGCAUCCAUUAAGCCUUUUUUUCAACUUUUGACCUCGGAUCAGG